UACGGAGGGGCUAGCGUUGUUCGGAAUUACUGGGCGUAAAGCGCACGUAGGCGGCUUUGUAAGUUAGGGGUGAAAGCCCGGGGCUCAACUCCGGAAUUGCCUUUAAGACUGCAUCGCUAGAAUUGUGGAGAGGUAAGUGGAAUUCCGAGUGUAGAGGUGAAAUUCGUAGAUAUUCGGAAGAACACCAGUGGCGAAGGCGACUUACUGGACACAUAUUGACGCUGAGGUGCGAAAGCGUGGGGAGCAAACAGG
rnacentral:rRNA from 1 species